GACGAACGCUGGCGGCGUGCCUAACACAUGCAAGUCGUGCGGUCUCGCCUUAAGCGAAAGGCCUUCGGGCUUUGAAGCAAAGGCGAGAUAGCGGCGGACGGGUGAGUAACGCGUGGCUUAUCUGUCCCAGGGAGGGGGAUAACGUCUGGAAACGGGCGCUAAUACCCCAUAUGCCGAAAGGUAAAAAGGAGAGAUCCGCCCUGGGGUGAGGCCGCGUCCUAUCAGCUCGUUGGUGAGGUAACGGCCCACCAAGGCUAUGACGGGUAGCCGGCCUGAGAGGGCGGCUGGCCACACUGGGAUUGAGAUACGGCCCAGACUCCUACGGGAGGCAGCAGUGGGGAAUAUUGGGCAAUGGGGGAAACCCUGACCCAGCGACGCCGCGUGGAGGAAGGAGCCCUUCGGGGUGUAAACUCCUGUUGUAAGGGAGAAGACAGUGACGGUACCUUACGAGGAAGCCCCGGCAAACUACGUG
rnacentral:rRNA from 1 species